rnacentral:rRNA from 1 species
GCAGGUCGAGGGGCAGCAUUUUAGUUUGCUUGCAAACUAAAGAUGGCGACCGGCGCACGGGCUGAGCUAACACGCUAUCCAACCUGCCGAUAACUCGGGGAUAGCCUUUCGAAAGAAAGAUUAAUAUCCGAUAGUAUAUUAAAACCGCAUGGUUUUACUAUUAAAGAAUUUCGGUUAUCGAUGGGGAUGCGUUCCAUUAGUUUGUUGGCGGGGUAACGGCCCACCAAGACUACGAUGGAUAGGGGUUCUGAGAGGAAGGUCCCCCACAUUGGAACUGAGACACGGUCCAAACUCAUACGGGAGGCAGCAGUGAGGAAUAUUGGUCAAUGGACGAAGAGUCUUGAACCAGCCAAGUAGCGUGAAGGAUGACUGCCCUAUGGGUUGUAAACUUCUUUUAUAUGGGAAUAAAGUAUUCCACGUGUGGGAUUUUGUAUGUACCAUAUGAAUAAGGAUCGGCUAACUCCGUGCCAGCAGCCGCGGUAAUACGGAGGAUCCGAGCGUUAUCCCGGAUUUAUUGGGUUUAAAGGGAGCGUAGGUGGAUUGUUAAGUCAGUUGUGAAAGUUUGCGGCUCAACCGUAAAAUUGCAGUUGAAACUGGCAGUCUUGAGUACAGUAGAGGUGGGCGGAAUUCGUGGUGUAGCGGUGAAAUGCUUAGAUAUCACGAAGAACUCCGAUUGCGAAGGCAGCUCACUAGACUGCAACUGACACUGAUGCUCGAAAGUGUGGGUAUCAAACAGGAUUAGAUACCCUGGUAGUCCACACAGUAAACGAUGAAUACUCGCUGUUUGCGAUAUACAGUAAGCGGCCAAGCGAAAGCAUUUAAGUAUUCCACCUGGGGAGUACGCCGGCAACGGUGAAACUCAAAGGAAUUGACGGGGGCCCGCACAAGCGGAGGAACAUGUGGGUUUAAUUCGAUGAUACGCGAGGAACCUUACCCGGGCUUAAAUUGCAUUUGAAUAAUCUGGAAACAGGUUAGCCGCAAGGCAAAUGUGAAGGUGCUGCAUGGUUGUCGUCAGCUCGUGCCGUGAGGUGUCGGCUUAAGUGCCAUAACGAGCGCAACCCUUAUCUUUAGUUACUAACAGGUCAUGCUGAGGACUCUAGAGAGACUGCCGUCGUAAGAUGUGAGGAAGGUGGGGAUGACGUCAAAUCAGCACGGCCCUUACGUCCGGGGCUACACACGUGUUACAAUGGGGGGUACAGAAGGCAGCUACCUGGCGACAGGAUGCUAAUCCCAAAAACCUCUCUCAGUUCGGAUCGAAGUCUGCAACCCGACUUCGUGAAGCUGGAUUCGCUAGUAAUCGCGCAUCAGCCAUGGCGCGGUGAAUACGUUCCCGGGCCUUGUACACACCGCCCGUCAAGCCAUGAAAGCCGGGGGUACCUGAAGUACGUAACCGCAAGGAGCUCCUAGG